rnacentral:tRNA from 1 species
GGCUGUAGCUAAGUGGUAGGGCACUUGUUUAGUGUGCAGGAGGCCCUGGUUUCAACCCCCAAGGUCU